UACGUAGGGUGCAAGCGUUGUUCGGAAUUAUUGGGCGUAAAGAGCUCGUAGGCGGUUUGUCGCGUCUGCUGUGAAAACUCAGGGCUUAACCCUGAGCUUGCAGUGGGUACGGGCAGACUAGAGUGCGGUAGGGGAGACUGGAAUUCCUGGUGUAGCGGUGAAAUGCGCAGAUAUCAGGAGGAACACCGGUGGCGAAGGCGGGUCUCUGGGCCGUAACUGACGCUGAGGAGCGAAAGCAUGGGGAGCGAACAGG
rnacentral:rRNA from 1 species